AGAAACAUAUAAAUUCUUCUGUCUUUUUAUUACAUGAUACAACCUAAGGAAAUUGGAACGACUGAUUUAUGUGGGAAACUGAUGGGAUAAAGCUCAAAAGCUCACACCUGGAUAUUUUUUUGUCACACCUUCCAAAUCGUGUAGAAGAAACGCUUACAAAAAGAAGAAAGAGACCUGGUUUGCCUUCCUUGCUGGCGUCCUUGUCAUCUCCAACCCGCCCACAGGUAUUGCAACUCCUUCCCAUCUGGUUUCCUCCUAUGAGAUAUUUUCUUCACUUGAGCUUUAGAAACAUUUAUUUAAGUGGUUACUGGUUGCUCCAGAAAUUUGAUAUUAAUAUGAUUUUGAUAUAGCCAUGAUGGCUCCUGUGUAGUUGUUUGGUUUGGUAUUUGAUUGUAAACUCUGGUUUGGUAUUUUUAGUCGCAUGUUUCAGUGGAAGAAGAAAAAAUAGUGUCAAAGUAGAAUGCACAUCGUUGUGGCAUAGUCGACUAUGUCGUAUGAGAAGAUUUGAUCAGAUGGUCCUUUUUUAUUCUUUCUGAUUUUCUAUAGAUAGUUGGGUUUUCGGAUACAAAUAUAAUUUUGGUAAUCCCAUGAGUUUUUGUCAAUGCCAGGUUUAAUUGUUGACAUAGUAUUGAACAUUUAGUUCAGUUAAAUAUCAUGACAGAUGGCUUCCUUUAUUUAUGUCCAAAUUAAAAAUCAUAUGCAAAUAGACUUGUGCAAGAAAUAAAUUUUGAAUUUGUUUUGGUCCAUUGUCUCAGAUCACACUGAUUCCACUCUUUUUAGGACUCCAGUAGAAACUGCAUGUACAAAUAAUAAUAUACAUUUACAUUGAACUUUGUUCUGUGUAAGUAUGAGUAAAUGCAUUGAUGUGUUCUCACUCUUUCUAGGACUAUAAUAGCAACUACAGUUUGACAGCGCCAAGGAGGCGCUACCCGAUAUACAUCAAUGAUGAUGAAGGUAUAUACAUAUACAUUAUGUUGGAGAGGGAGUAGAAGAGUGGGGAGGGUGAAACAUAUGCCUUGUGCAUGCGUGAACCAAGCAAUGCAUUUGUGCCUUCUUUUUCUAUGUGUAUUUGCUCACCAUCUGUCAUGUUAAGUUGCGGACUAGCUAUUUAACAUUGUGUGCAUAGUUCAAACAUUUCCAUCUUUGAUAAAAUCUUCUUGAUCCAUGGUAGGUUGGUGCACCAGACACGACACCAGAAGUUUCACUACUGCAUAAGUGCGUCUUCAAGGUGACGAGGUGGACGGUAAGGUAUAUGCUUCUACUUGCCUCCGGUGCUUUCUAUUUGAUACAUCAGUACUUCAUAAGUUGGUCUGACUGUUUUCCCUCUCCGUAGUGAACUGCGGGAUGUGCCGUUGGCUGAUGAUGUGCUCUCCAUUAAAACCAAGAAGGCCAUGCGCCACUGAAACCAGAGAGGUCAGAUGUUGUUAUGUGCUCUCCCUUUUUGUACGCCUGUUUGAUCUUCUCUUUCUCACUUCAAUGACUCUUGCGAUGAGCAUCUUGAUUAUGUACGGGUUGGAAAUCGAUAUAUGCAGGACCUUAUCCUUUUGUUUGUGGAUGCGUGAAGAAAGGAUGGUUGGCUAAGGGGGUGUCUCUUCUAGGACAGUGUCACGUGGCUCUGUUAGCUUCGAUUUUAUGGCGCCCUGUUGUCCGAUAUACAUUUAUUUAUGGAUUGGACGCAUCUGGUUAGUUCAUGUUGUUAUGUUGUUCAAGAAUAAGCACAUGUUGCAGUUAGUAUGCUACUCUAUGUAACCUCUUUGUCCUUGGGAUUUCCUUUGCAGCAAACUAAAUGGAUUCUAAAUGCUACCUUGGUCAUUAUUCUUUGUACAAUGCAUGCAGCAGUCUGCGAGUGUUU
rnacentral:lncRNA from 1 species